GACGAACGCUGGCGGCGCGCUUAACACAUGCAAGUCGAACGGAAAGGCCUGCUUUCCCUUGUGGAUUGCGGGUACUCGAGGGGCGAACGGGUGAGUAACACGUGAGUGAUCUGCCCCCAACUUGGGUAUAAGCCUGGGAAACUGGGUCUAAUUCCCGAUAGGACUGCAGGGUGGUGCCUGUGGUGGAAAACGAUUUUCUAGUGGUUGGGGAUGAGCUCGCGGCCUAUCAGCUUGUUGGUGGGGUAAUGGCCUACCAAGGCGGCGACGGGUAGCCGGCCUGAGAGGGUGGACGGCCACAUUGGGACUGAGAUACGGCCCAGACUCCUACGGGAGGCAGCAGUGGGGAAUAUUGCACAAUGGGCGGAAGCCUGAUGCAGCGACGCCGCGUGGGGGAUGACGGCCUUCGGGUUGUAAACUCCUUUCGACCGCGAGGAAGCCACCUGGUUGGAAGGGUGGUGACGGUAGUGGUAGAAGAAGCACCGGCUAACUACGUG
rnacentral:rRNA from 1 species